rfam:Schistosoma curassoni strain Dakar, Senegal genome assembly, scaffold: SCTD_scaffold0020293
AUCCAGAUGAAAAGUCCAAAAUAAGACGAAACACGCGUCCUGGAU